CACUCCUACGGGAGGCAGCAGUGGGGAAUAUUGCACAAUGGGCGCAAGCCUGAUGCAGCCAUGCCGCGUGUAUGAAGAAGGCCUUCGGGUUGUAAAGUACUUUCAGCGGGGAGGAAGGCAAUACGGUUAAUAACCGUGUUGAUUGACGUUACCCGCAGAAGAAGCACCGGCUAACUCCGUGCCAGCAGCCGCGGUAAUACGGAGGGUGCAAGCGUUAAUCGGAAUUACUGGGCGUAAAGCGCACGCAGGCGGUCUGUCAAGUCGGAUGUGAAAUCCCCGGGCUCAACCUGGGAACUGCAUUCGAAACUGGCAGGCUUGAGUCUUGUAGAGGGGGGUAGAAUUCCAGGUGUAGCGGUGAAAUGCGUAGAGAUCUGGAGGAAUACCGGUGGCGAAGGCGGCCCCCUGGACAAAGACUGACGCUCAGGUGCGAAAGCGUGGGGAGCAAACAGGAUUAGAAACCCUAGUAGUCCCAUAA
rnacentral:rRNA from 1 species